AUUGAACGCUGGCGGCGUGCUUUACACAUGCAAGUCGGACGAGUGGCGAACGGGUGAGUAACGCAUCGGAACGUACCGAGUAAUGGGGGCUAACUGUCCGAAAGGACAGCUAAUACCGCAUAUUAUUCGCGAGGCCGCGUUCUGAUUAGCUGGUUGGCGGGGUAAUGGCCCACAACGGCGACGAUCAGUAGCGGGUCUGAGAGGAUGAUCCGCAACACUGGGACGGAGACACGGCCAAGACUCCUACGGGAGGCAGCAGGGGGGAAUUUUGGACAAUGGGCGAAAGCCUGAUCCAGCCAUGCCGCGUGUCUGAAGAAGGCCUUCGGGUUGUAAAGGACUUUUGUCAGGGAAGCGGUACCUGAAGAAUAAGCACCGGCUAACUACGUGCCAGCCGCCGCGGUAAUUC
rnacentral:rRNA from 1 species